rnacentral:pre_miRNA from 1 species
CGAGGGGAUGCAGCAGCAAUUCAUGUUUUGAAGUGCUCUAAAUGGUUCAAAACGUGAGGCGCUGCUAUACCCCCUCGCGGGCAGGGUGGAAGGUGGGG